AUCCAGAUGACGAGUUCCAAAUAGGACAAAACGCUCCCUGUCCUGGAU
rnacentral:hammerhead_ribozyme from 1 species